rnacentral:misc_RNA from 1 species
CAAAUUAUGGCGAACCUCGCGUUUCGCUAGGUUUUGUCAUUUUUCGUAUUUAAAACAUCCCACUCUUUAAAAAAAAUUAUCUAAUGAUAAAUAAAAAAAAAAGA